rnacentral:rRNA from 1 species
ACCCGCGGCUAGACGGAAAGACCCCGUGAACCUUUACUACAGCUUGGCACUGAACAUUGACCCUACAUGUGUAGGAUAGGUGGGAGGCUUUGAAGCGCAGUCGCUAGAUUGUGUGGAGCCGUCCUUGAAAUACCACCCUUGUAGUGUUGAUGUUCUAACGUCGACCCCUUAUCGGGGUUGCGGACAGUGCCUGGUGGGUAGUUUGACUGGGGCGGUCUCCUCC